rnacentral:misc_RNA from 1 species
AACGCACAUUGCGCCCCUUGGUAUUCCGAGGGGCAUGCCUGUUCGAGCGUCAUUUCACCAAUCAAGCCACGCUUGGUAUUGGGAGCAGGCCCCCGCCCCGGCGGAGGCCCCCCCCGAAAUGCAUCGGCGAGGAAACCGACCCCCGGCGUGUUAGAUUUCUGAACGUCAGGAGCACCGGUUGACUCUGCCGUACAAUCUUUUUUUUACAAGGUUGACCUCGGAUCAGGUAGGAAUACCCGCUGAACUUAA